rnacentral:lncRNA from 1 species
AAGUGAGAUCCUUUAUGGAUUCUCCCUUGGCUAGUGGUCAGUGCCUCAGCCUCAUUGUUGAGGUUUCUUAGAUGUACAGGUAAGGAUCAUUUCUACUGAGAAGUCUUUCUUGAUCCUCAGAUAUGGUCAAGUCCCCUCCAUACACUCUUUUUUUUUUUUUUUUUUUUUUGAAACAGGGUCUCCCUAUGUAGCUAAUGCUGGACUUACACUCAUGGCCAUUCUGCUGCCUCAGCCUCCUAGUGCUGGAAUUACAGAAUGGAAAUGGCUAUCCCAUGCAUAUCUCAACAUUGUAUUAAGUUCACAGCUCAAGGAGAAUUUGUCUUGGGAGAAGUCAUGCCUUGGUUCCAUGGAUGAGACUCCUGACUUUUGAGUUGAUGCUGGAAUGGGUUAAGACUUUUGGUGGUAUUUGGGUGGAAUAAAUAUAUUUUGCAUGUAAGAAAGACAGGAAUAUGGGGUGCCAGGGGUCCAAAGUUAUAGUCUGAAUAUGUCCCUUGAAGUUCAUGCAUUAGAAACUUAAUUCCAGUGCAACAGGGAUGAGAGGUGAGACGUUUGAGAGGUGAUUAGGUCAUGAGAGCUGUACCUUAUGAGCGGAUUAACGUGAUUAUUGCUUGAGUGGGUUUGCCAUAAAAGUGAAUUUUGUUCCCUUUCU